rnacentral:rRNA from 1 species
GUCGAGUGCGCGCCUGUAGCAAUACAGGUGGCGCACGGCGCACGGGUGCGUAACACGUGGGUAAUCUGCCCUUCGAUGGGGAAUAACUCCGGGAAACCGAAGCUAAUUCCGCAUAACAUUCCUUGAACCUCGGUUUGGGGAUUCAAAGCCGUAAGGCGUCGGAGGAGGAACCCGCGCACGAUUAGCUAGUUGGUAGGGUAACGGCCUACCAAGGCUUUGAUCGUUAGCUGGUCUGAGAGGAUGGCCAGCCACACUGGAACUGAGACACGGUCCAGACUCCUACGGGAGGCAGCAGUGGGGAAUCUUGCACAAUGGGCGAAAGCCUGAUGCAGCGACGCCGCGUGGGGGAUGAAGCUUUUCGGAGUGUAAACCCCUUUCGACCCGGACGAAUGUCCCGCAAGGGAACUGACGGUACGGGUAUAAGAAGCCCCGGCUAACUACGUGCCAGCAGCCGCGGUAAGACGUGGGGGGCCAGCGUUGCUCGGAAUUACUGGGUGUAAAGGGUUCGUAGGCGGUGUAGCAAGUCGGGAGUGAAAUCUCUGGGCUCAACCCAGAGACUGCUUCCGAAACUGCUGUGCUUGAGUGUGGGAGAGGCGCGUGGAAUUGCAGGUGUAGCGGUGAAAUGCGUAGAUAUCUGCAGGAACACCCGUGGCGAAAGCGGCGCGCUGGACCACUACUGACGCUGAGGAACGAAAGCUAGGGGAGCAAACAGGAUUAGAUACCCUGGUAGUCCUAG